CCUACGGGUGGCAGCAGUGAGGAAUAUUGGUCAAUGGUCGGGAGACUGAACCAGCCACGCCGCGUGAGGGAGGAAGGUACAGAGUAUCGUAAACCUCUUUUGUCAGGGAACAAAGACUGGGAUGCGUCCCCGGAUGAGUGUACCUGAAGAAAACGCAUCGGCUAACUCCGUGCCAGCAGCCGCGGUAAUACGGAGGAUGCGAGCGUUAUCCGGAAUUAUUGGGGUUAAAGGGUGCGCAGGGGGGCUGUUAAGUCUGCGGGCAAAACCCGGGGGACAACCCCCGGACCCCCGUUGAAACUGGCAGUCUAGAGUUGGAGAGAAGUAUGCGGAAUGCGCGGUGUAGCGGUGAAAUGCAUAGAUAUCGCGCAGAACUCUGAUUGCGAAGGCAGCAUGCCGGCUCCACACUGACGCUGAGGCACGAAAGCGUGGGUAUCGAACAGGAUUAGAUACCCCAGUAGUC
rnacentral:rRNA from 1 species